rnacentral:tRNA from 1 species
GUUGCUUUAGUAUAAAUAUUAUUUUAGUUUUUCGUACUAAUGAUGGUUAUUAUUUACUAUAACCAAGCAAUG